rnacentral:lncRNA from 1 species
CUGCUCUCAUAGGCCAAAGUCAAGGUGCCAGUGGGCCGUGCUCUUGUCUGGGGCUCGAGGAAAGAACAUGCUUCAGGCUCACUGGGGGCUAGAGGACUUCUCCCUGUGGCUGAGGGACAGAGGCCCCACUCCCCUGUGGGCUGUCAGCUCAAGGCUGGCUGCAUCCGCCUUCUCAAAGCCAGCAAGGGCACCCUGAGUCCUCCUCACGCCGAGUCCUCUCUGCCACCCUCUUCCGCCUGCAUCCAGAGGACGCUCUCUGCUGUCAGGGCUCCCCCAGAAACCAGGAUAACCUCCCUCGUUUAAGGCCAACUGUCCAGAGAACAAUGUGCCUCAGGGCGGCCUCUCAUCACACUCAAGCUUCUGGGGAUCACAAAGAAAACAGCCGAUGAUGGCUCAUGAGGGUGUCUCAGGGAGGCCGUCGGGGCCCCUGCACCUUGAGUUGUUCUAAGGUUGCUGGAGCUGACACCCAGGUGAACGCGGCUGGGACGAAACAGUGGUGAGCGGCCACUAAGCUUCUGUCCCAGUCUCCGUCAGCUGACCCCACCGAGAGCACACACUUACCCAGGAGAGAAUCACACCCGGCCCUUCUGAGUGCUGUGGCGCCUUCAGACUUUAUUCGUAGCAGAUGCCGUGCCGAGGACGGCCAGGUGAGCAGCAGAGGACGAUGACAGGAAUUCUGAGUCCGCCUCAGUGAACAAAGCGGCGUGUGGCACACGGUCAUGCCACGAGCCUGAGAGCAGAUUGCAAAGCAAAGCGUGUAGUGCAAUCCAACUUUUGGAAAGAAAAAUAAAUCCUUUAUAUAUGACGGUGUAAUAAAGAAUUGAACCUUGCCCAGAGAGACCUGGCCUCUUCCCCCAGCUUCUGAGAGGUGGUCUCUAAGCCACAUGGGACGGUCUUGGUUUGCCUGGGCCUUUGGACCACACCAGGAGGCCUAAAGUGUGAUUCAGGUAGGGGUUGCGAUGAGCUCACCCUCGAGUGAGCUGGAGACCUCCAUCCGCAUGGGCAGUCAACCAUGGGGCCCCAGCAAAGGCUCUGGGACACUAAGCUCGGGGGAUCCCACCUGGAUGCCCCAAGUGACACUGCCCACAGCUCUGUGGGGAAGGACCCUCUGCAGGUGGGAACUUCCUGGACUCCGGCCUGAGCGCCUUUCCCUGGGUUGAUAGUCAUCUGUGUCCUACCCUUGUGCUAAGUCAUGACCAUGAGUAUAUCAGCUUUCAGUGAGUUUUUCUAGCGAAUUAUCAAAACUGAGGGUGGUCUUGGAGACCCCUACCCUUGUAACUGGUGAAGAAUUGAGGACAGUUUUGUAGAUUAUGGUUCCCUCUAGCCCUGCAAUGAUGUUGACUGUAAGUACAUUAAAGUAUUUGUUAGACACUGGAAAACGAUAUGCAAAAUGUAGGAAGUGGAUGCCUC